GACGAACGCUGGCGGCGUGCUUAACACAUGCAAGUCGAACGGACAGGCCCUGCUUUUGUGUCGUUCUCGUUUGCCGCGCGGGUGAGUAACACAUGAGUAUCCUCCCCUUGUCUUUGUGAUAACUUCAGGAAACUCGGGCUCUUACCCGGUAUGAGCUCUUGCUGCGUGGUGUGGGUUGGAGAGUUUCGGCGGUUGGGGCUGGACUCGCGGGUUAUCCGCUUCUUGGUCUGGUAGUGGCUUACCAAGGCUUAGACGGGUAGCCGGCCUGAGAGGGUGAACGGGCACAUUGGGCCUAAGAUACGCACCAGACGGCUACGGUCGGCAGCGGUGGGGAACAUGGCACAACGGGCGGAAGCCUGAUGCAGCAACGCUGCGUGCGUGAUAACGGCCUUCGAGUGGUAAACCGCUUUCGCCUGUGACGAAGCGUGAGUGACGGUAAUGAGUAAAGAAGCACCGGCUAACUACGUG
rnacentral:rRNA from 1 species